rnacentral:rRNA from 1 species
CCUACGGGCGGCAGCAGUGGGGAAUAUUGGUCAAUGGGCGCAAGCCUGACCCAGCAACGCCGCGUGAAGGAAGAAGGCUUUCGGGUUGUAAACUUCUUUUCUCAGGGACGAAGCAAGUGACGGUACCUGAGGACUAAGCCACGGCUAACUACGUGCCAGCAGCCGCUGUAAUACGUAGGUGGCAAGCGUUAUCCGGAUUUACUGGGUGUAAAGGGCGUGUAGGCGGGGACGCAAGUCAGAUGUGAAAACCAUGGGCUCAACCUGUGGCCUGCAUUUGAAACUGUGUUUCUUGAGUACUGGAGAGGCAGACGGAAUUCCUAGUGUAGCGGUGAAAUGCGUAGAUAUUAGGAGGAACACCAGUGGCGAAGGCGGUCUGCUGGACAGCAACUGACGCUGAGGCGCGAAAGCGUGGGGAGCAAACAGGAUUAGAUACCCCAGUAGUC